UCUACGGGAGGCAGCAGUGAGGAAUAUUGGUCAAUGGACGAGCGUCUGAACCAGCCAAGUAGCGUGAAGGAUGACUGCCCUAUGGGUUGUAAACUUCUUUUAUAUGGGAAUAAAAUGUUCCACGUGUGGGCUUUUGUAUGUACCCUAUGAAUAAGGAUCGGCUAACUCCGUGCCAUCCGCCGCGGUAAUAAGGAGGAUCCGAGCGUUAUCCGGAUUUGUUGGGUUUAAAGGGAGCGUAGUGGGGUGUGUAAGUCAGUUGUGAAAGUUUGCGGCUCAACCGUAAAAUUGCAGUUGAAACUGGCAGUCUUGAGUACAGUAGAGGUGGGCGGAAGUCGUGGUGUAGCGGUGAAAUGCUUAGAUAUCACGAAGAACUCCGAGUGCGAAGGCAGCUCACUGGACUGCAACUGACACUGAGGCUCGAAAGUGUGGGUAUCAAACAGGAGUAGAUACCCCGGUAGUC
rnacentral:rRNA from 1 species